rnacentral:rRNA from 1 species
UUUAAGUGUUAAUUAAAUUUACCUGGGUAAUAUUAGUUAAGGUCUUUAAACCCAAAGAAUUUGGCGGUAUCUCAUUCCAUUCAGAGGAACCUACCCCGUAAUUGAUAAUACACGAUUAACUUAACUUAAUUUAUUUGCUUGUAUAUCUCCGUUAUCAGAAAAUCUUUUUAGAGUUAUAAUUUUCUUAAUUUAUAAUUAUAAAAUAUUUCAGGUCAAGGUGCAGUUUAUGAUUAAGAGGUGGUGGGUUACAAUAAAUUUUAGUUUAUAAUGAAUUUUAUAUUGAAAUAUUAUAAAUGAAGGUGGAUUUGAUGGUAAUUUAAUUUAUUUAAUUUAUUUGAUAUUGGCUCUGAGAUGUGC